rnacentral:rRNA from 1 species
UACGGAGGGUGCGAGCGUUAAUCGGAAUCACUGGGCGUAAAGCGCACGUAGGCGGCCAGAUAAGUCAGAUGUGAAAGCCCCGGGCUUAACCUGGGAAUGGCAUUUGAUACUGUCUGGCUAGAGUAUGGUAGAGGGGGGUGGAAUUCCAGGUGUAGCGGUGAAAUGCGUAGAGAUCUGGAGGAACACCGGUGGCGAAGGCGGCCCCCUGGACCAAUAUUGACGCAGAGGUGCGAAAGCGUGGGGAGCAAGCACG